rnacentral:lncRNA from 1 species
CUGUUUUUUUUAAGCCGUAAGGUUUAAUAUUGAAAAAUACCACUUUAUCAAAAACGGAUAUUUACGAAAAUUUCUACGAUAGUAUCUCAAGGGUCAUCGAUAUUGCCAAGAUUCUAUUCAACUGUCUGCAGUUUGCGUUCUAAUAGUUGUUAAAAUGUAUAAAAAAAAAUUAAACCUUAAAACACACCAA